GACAGAGGAUGCAAGCGUUAUCCGGAAUGAUUGGCGUAAAGCGUCUGUAGGUGGCUUUUCAAGUCGCCGUCAAAUCCCAGGGCUACCACCCUGACAGGCGGUGGAAACUACCAAGCUGGAGUACGGUAGGGGCAGAGGGAAUUUCCGGUGGAGCGGUGAAAUGCAUGAGAUCGAAGACGAACAACGCCGAAGCAGCUACG
rnacentral:rRNA from 1 species